GGAAGGGUACAGCUCAGUGAUAGAGCGUGUACUUAGCAUGCACGAGGUCCUGGGUUCAAUCCCCAGCACCUCCA
rfam:Camelus ferus unplaced genomic scaffold scaffold303, whole genome shotgun sequence.